UACGUAGGGGGCAAGCGUUGUCCGGAGUUACUGGGCGUAAAGGGCCCGCAGGCGGUCUGUUACGUUGCCUCUGACAAUGCCUCGCUUAACGAGGCAGGGUGGGGCAAAACGGGCAGACUUGAGGCAGAGAGAGGGACAGGGAAUUCCGGGUGGAGUGGUGAAAUGCGUAGAUAUCCGGAGGAACACCAAAGGCGAAGGCACUGUCCUGGCUCUGGACUGACGCUGAGGGGCGAAAGCUAGGGGAGCGAACGGG
rnacentral:rRNA from 1 species